CGGCGGACGGGUGAGUAACGCGUGGGCAACCUGCCUUACACAGGGGGAUAACAGUUAGAAAUGACUGCUAAUACCGCAUAAGACCACAGUACUGCAUGGUGCAGUGGUAAAAACUCCGGUGGUGUAAGAUGGGCCCGCGUCUGAUUAGGUAGUUGGCGGGGUAACGGCCCACCAAGCCGACGAUCAGUAGCCGACCUGAGAGGGUGACCGGCCACAUUGGGACUGAGACACGGCCCAGACUCCUACGGAAGGCAGCAG
rnacentral:rRNA from 1 species